CAUAAAUCAACGUGUGAUUAUACGUGUGUGUCUGAAUCUUUCGGUAUGCAGUUUUAAAAUAUAUCUUGUCAUUUAUAAAAAUGUGUGUGUGUUACUGAACAUUACCUGUGAUACACUGCAUAUCCUGUAUUCCUCACACCUUAUGACAGCCGACCCAGCAGGGGCUGCGACCUUUGGGCUUAUCUUCAACUUUGAUCUACUCUUUAUUCAUUCACUAUAUCUGCAGCACUCUCCCCGCAAGCUCACUUCUUUCUCUCUCUCUCUCUCUCUCUCUCCCUGUCUUUCCCUAAAUCUCAGUGGUUCACCAGGCAAUGUCAACAACACCCAGGAGCCGUGGGGUAAGGGGUCAUGGGUCGGGACCCUUGAGAACCUUCCAGUGUUGCCAGUGCAGGAGUGACCAGUGACUGCUGUGUUUUCUCUUUCAUUUCCGUAAACCGCUGACAGGGCCGGAUGGCUGCUGUUUGAAAUCUGACAACAAUUAAAACGCCCUUAACAAGGCAUCUGAUUUCCCCAGAGUCUCACAUCGAUACAAUGUCUCCUUCAUUAAGGCAUGCAUGUAUUCAUUUAUUCAAUUAUGCAUUCACCUAUUGACUCACUUUGGCCCGAAUGUCGCAGGAUGUCCGUGCGUAUGUGCGUGAAUAAAUAAAUGCCUACUCAUGCAUGCUUAAGUGUGUUUGUGUUUGUCCGGUCAGCAGGUUGGAAUAUAUUACAGUGUUAUGCGGGGUAAUCAAUUCCCAAAGCUUUAUAACAACUGUCCACCAAAAAGAGAAAAUGAAGCCAGUGAUGGAAGAGGGCUGUCUGCUCACAGCAGGGCCCAGACACAUAAAACCUCAUAGAGUCUCACUUACAGCAAGACUAAGACAACCAGGAAUUCUCAUCAGAUUCUCAGUGUAAAGAGGCGCAUUCAAAUGAUCCAGUGGCUUACGGAUAGUUAAUGCCGUUCCUUGUAGUCAAGAACCAAUGAACUCUUUCAAGAAAUGAGCGACAACUUCCUCUUUGGAAUUUUGAUUGGUAUAAUUCCUACGGGACACGGGAUUGAGGACAGAAAUUGGAUCAAGGAGACAAAAGAUGAGCCCAUUUUCUGCAAAUCGUGCCUCUUAGAAAAGCCUCCGAGUACACAGAGGAAAUGAGGCGGAGCGCCACCUCUCACCUCUGAGGUUUUGAUGUGGCAAGCUGUUUGGAUACUGUGGGCAUUUAUUUAUUUUAUAACUGAUCCUGGUUCUGCUCCAGCUGGGGAGAAUAAAGCAGAUGGAAUGUUUUCGAGUGUAAACACACUGACACGAAGGCUUACACCGGAGGGCGAUUUCUACCUCGACAUGUCCUGACUGUUAGAGCGGGGUGAUCUGUGGUGAAAGGGGUCGGUGUGGGAAGUGACCCUGGUUGUUUUAAAUAAAUAAUGAGAUGAACUCUGUCGUGGUGAAAAAAGACAGUUUAUUAUGAGAUCAAAAGAUGUGAUCAUAAAGUAUAAGCAGUUGUGAGUUUGGUGUAUUUUUGUCGUCUUGAUUCAUGGCACGUUAGUGGGUGUGUUUUGUUUGAACAGCAGGAGUUCAUAUUUGGAGGUGGGGGACAUAUUCACAUCACUCAUUGUUUUCUCGUACUGUUUAUUUAUGUAAACAAUGUGCUCUAAACACUGAAUUUAUGAGACAUCCAACUGUGCACAUCAGCUGAUGUUUUUCUGUUGUCUGUUUGGCAUUUAAACAUAAUA